rnacentral:rRNA from 1 species
AGGGGGCUUCGGCUCUCGCCCUUAGAUUGGCCCAAGUGGGAUUAGCUAGUUGGUGAGGUAAUGGCUCACCAAGGCGACGAUCCCUAGCUGGUUUGAGAGGAUGAUCAGCCACACUGGAACUGAGACACGGUCCAGACUCCUACGGGAGGCAGCAGUGGGGAAUAUUGCACAAUGGGCGCAAGCCUGAUGCAGCCAUGCCGCGUGUGUGAAGAAGGCCUUAGGGUUGUAAAGCACUUUCAGUAAGGAGGAAAGGUUAGUAGUUAAUACCUGCUAGCUGUGACGUUACUUACAGAAGAAGCACCGGCUAACUCCGUGCCAGCAGCCGCGGUAAUACGGAGGGUGCGAGCGUUAAUCGGAAUUACUGGGCGUAAAGCGUACGCAGGCGGUUUGUUAAGCGAGAUGUGAAAGCCCCGGGCUCAACCUGGGAACUGCAUUUCGAACUGGCAAACUAGAGUAUGAUAGAGGGUGGUAGAAUUUCAGGUGUAGCGGUGAAAUGCGUAGAGAUCUGAAGGAAUACCGAUGGCGAAGGCAGCCACCUGGGUCAAUACUGACGCUCAUGU